rnacentral:lncRNA from 1 species
GUUUGUAUUUUUCAUUUUUAGCCAUGGCGUUGUCAGUUUAUUUUCAAUUUAUGAGUUUGACUGUCCCUCUGGUAUCUUUCGUCCUACGUUUACAUCUAAUUACAUUUACCAUCUGGUACCAGAUCGUUCACGAUCCAACCGCAAUGCUUGACCACCGAUAGGUAUUCUUUCACGAUCAAUUCUCUCGAUAAAUCGAAUAACACCCGUGAUCAAGUUUCGUAUUAUCUUUAUUAUUUCCUCAUUUAUUAGCCUUUUAAAUUAAUACCUACAUGUACCCUGGAUCCAUCUCCUUGUAGUAGAUAACCAGUAUGUUCCUCUUCUUAAAGACUUAGUAGUAUUGAAUACCAAACUGUAACCUGCUAGCAUGUAGCUAGGAUCUGGACACAAUUCAAACGAACUAAUCCAUGUUUCUGUGGACUUAUGUUGCGGGAGGAAAUUCUUUGAAUAUACAUUUUCUGUAAA